rnacentral:lncRNA from 10 species
UCCUUUUUCAUCCAGAUUCUAAAUUCUGUGCUGGUAUUCCUUUGACUGUGGUAUAAGUUCUGUGUAGUCAGUUGGGUUCAUUUCCAGAUACUUUAAGAUGGCCAAAGCCCUGUAGAAGAUCUUUAUUUCCCGGUCAAUCCUUGCUCCUGGUUUCCCAGGUAUGUAUAUUAACAGAAUGCCUUUUUUUGGUGUUUUAGUUUGGGAUGUGAUUUAGUAGAUGGUGAUUAAGAAUAAUUGCUGAUGGACAUGCACUUACUCAGUUGCUUGGCUAUUUUGUGUUUCUUUUCACUUGCAGGCAUGCUCUGCAGUGUGGGGUGGGGAGAGAGAGACCCCCUUCUUCAGGUCUGCCCCUGGGCCUUGACGGAGCCCCCUUUGAUCACUGGUGCUGCACCUGAAUUUGUUUGUUAGAUGUUCUGGGCCACGGGGCUUUCUCAGACAGAAGCUAUAGCAGGGAGAUAGGACACACUACAUCCUUUCUGGAUCAUCCCUGCUCCCGCUGGUCCCUGAACCUGCUGUGCAUCUUGUCCUUCUCCAUGAUCCAAGAGUAGGGGAUCCAGUCCCACUCAAAUGCCUACCACAGCUCUCAGCUCAGCACUCUCAAGCUGCAUGCUGCAGCCCUGGGGCAACCAGAUGGUCUGCCUCAGGGCCAGGCUGUUCAUGGGGGAUCCAAAGUGCUUAUAGGUUGCUGGGAAAGUACUUAGGUAGAGUAAAGCACCCAGGGAGAUCAGCGGAGGGUGCACUGUGCGGCAGCUAGGCAGGGACCCUGCAAAGGGUGAUGGGCAGGAGGGCCUACAGAACAGACAUGCCCCAGUCCCACAGAGAAGCCAGCAGCACCUUUUUUGUUUGU